GUCGACGAGGUGCUUUUUGUAGCAAUACGAGAAGUAUCCUAGUGGCGAACGGGUGAGUAGCGCGUUGGUGACCUACCCCAAAGUGUGGGAUAACAGUUCGAAAGAACUGCUAAUACCGCAUGUGGUUAUCGGGUUUAGAAACCGAUAACUAAAGGAGCAAUUCGCUUUGGGAGGGACCUGCGUCCCAUCAGCUAGUUGGUGAGGUAACGGCUCACCAAGGCGACGACCGGUAGGGGACCUGAGAGGGUGACCCCCCACAAUGGAACUGAAACACGGUCCAUACACCUACGGGUGGCAGCAGUAGGGAAUAUUGCUCAAUGGGCGAAAGCCUGAAGCAGCAACGCCGCGUGCGCGAUGAAGGUCUUCGGAUCGUAAAGCGCUUUUAUGAGGGAUGAGAACGGACAGUACCUCAGGAAUAAGUCUCGGCUAACUACGUGCCAGCAGCCGCGGUAAAACGUAGGAGGCAAGCGUUAUCCAGAUUCACUGGGCGUAAAGCGCGUGCAGGCGGUUCGGUAAGUUGGGCGUGAAAUCUCCUGGCUUAACUAGGAGAGGUCGUCCAAUACUACCGGGCUAGAGAGUGGUAGAGGAAAAUGGAAUUCCCGGUGUAGUGGUGAAAUGCGUAGAUAUCGGGAGGAACACCAGUGGCGAAAGCGAUUUUCUGGACCAUUUCUGACGCUCAGACGCGAAAGCUAGGGUAGUAAACGGGAUUAGAGACCCCGGUAAUCCUAGCCGUAAACGAUGUAAACUUGGCGUUGGUGGCUUAAACACCAUCAGUGCCGCAGCUAACGCGAUAAGUUUA
rnacentral:rRNA from 1 species